CCUCUUGCAUUACACUCACAACUCACUAAUAUUAAUAUUGGAACUGUAAAAUGUUUCAUAUUCCUUGUGGUUGGUGCUGCAGAAAAAUAUGCAUAACAAGAAGAAGAAGAGAAAGAAGAGGAAGAUGAAGAGGAAAAAGAGGAGGAAGAAGAAGAGGAAGAAAAAGAGGAAGAAGGGGAGGAAAUCAAAGAGGAAGAAGAGGAGGAAAGAGAGGAAGAAGAGGAAGAACAGGAGGAAGACAAAGAGGAAGAAGAGGAGGAAGGAGAGGAAGAAAAGAAAAAAAAGGAGGAAGAUAAGAAAUAAAAGAAGGAGGAAGAAAAGAAAAAAAAGGAGGAAGAAAAGAAAGAAAAGGAGGAGAAAGAAGAGGAAGAAGAGUAAAAAGAAGGGAAGAAAAGGAGAAAGAGGAAAAAGAAUAGGUUGAAUAAGAGGAAGCAGAGGAGGAAGAAGUGGAAGAAGAAGAACAGGAGGAAGACAAAGAGGAAGAAGAGGAGGAAGGAGUGGAAGAAAAGAAAAAAAGAGGAGAAAGAAAAGCAGAAGGUAGAAGAGGAAGAAAAAAAAAGAGGAAGAAAGAUGAGCAGAAAAAAAAAGAUGAUGUCUGGGAGGGGGCGGAGUAAUGUACAGGUAUCCCACUCCUUAUUUUCCCGCUCAUUCUCAAUGGCCCACUCCCCCGCCUGCUGCCUUCAUCAUGUCUACUAGACCUAAAUAAAGACCU